rnacentral:rRNA from 1 species
ACGAUGAACCCAGCUUGCUGGGUGGAUUAGUGGCGAACGGGUGAGUAACACGUGAGUAACCUGCCCUUGACUCUGGGAUAAGCGCUGGAAACGGCGUCUAAUACCGGAUACGACCUGCCCCGGCAUCGGGUGUGGGUGGAAAGUUUUUCGGUCAAGGAUGGACUCGCGGCCUAUCAGCUUGUUGGUGAGGUAAUGGCUCACCAAGGCGACGACGGGUAGCCGGCCUGAGAGGGUGACCGGCCACACUGGGACUGAGACACGGCCCAGACUCCUACGGGAGGCAGCAGUGGGGAAUAUUGCACAAUGGGCGCAAGCCUGAUGCAGCAACGCCGCGUGGGGGAUGACGGCCUUCGGGUUGUAAACCUCUUUUAGUAGGGAAGAAGGACUUCGGUUUGACGGUACCUGCAGAAAAAGCACCGGCUAACUACGUGCCAGCAGCCGCGGUAAUACGUAGGGUGCAAGCGUUGUCCGGAAUUAUUGGGCGUAAAGAGCUCGUAGGCGGUUUGUCGCGUCUGCUGUGAAAACCCGAGGCUCAACCUCGGGCCUGCAGUGGGUACGGGCAGACUAGAGUGCGGUAGGGGAGAAUGGAAUUCCUGGUGUAGCGGUGGAAUGCGCAGAUAUCAGGAGGAACACCGAUGGCGAAGGCAGUUCUCUGGGCCGUAACUGACGCUGAGGAGCGAAAGCGUGGGGAGCGAACAGGAUUAGAUACCCUGGUAGUCCACGCCGUAAACGUUGGGCGCUAGAUGUGGGGACCUUUCCACGGUUUCCGUGUCGCAGCUAACGCAUUAAGCGCCCCGCCUGGGGAGUACGGCCGCAAGGCUAAAACUCAAAGGAAUUGACGGGGGCCCGCACAAGCGGCGGAGCAUGCGGAUUAAUUCGAUGCAACGCGAAGAACCUUACCAAGGCUUGACAUAUACCGGAAACUUCCAGAAAUGGUUGCCCCGCAAGGUCGGUAUACAGGUGGUGCAUGGUUGUCGUCAGCUCGUGUCGUGAGAUGUUGGGUUAAGUCCCGCAACGAGCGCAACCCUCGUUCUAUGUUGCCAGCACGUCAUGGUGGGAACUCAUAGGAGACUGCCGGGGUCAACUCGGAGGAAGGUGGGGAUGACGUCAAAUCAUCAUGCCCCUUAUGUCUUGGGCUUCACGCAUGCUACAAUGGCCGGUACAAAGGGCUGCGAUACCGUAAGGUGGAGCGAAUCCCAAAAAGCCGGUCUCAGUUCGGAUUGAGGUCUGCAACUCGACCUCAUGAAGUCGGAGUCGCUAGUAAUCGCAGAUCAGCAACGCUGCGGUGAAUACGUUCCCGGGCCUUGUACACACCGCCCGUCAAGUCAUGAAAGUCGGUAACACCCGAAGCCAGUGGCCUAACCGCAAGGAGGGAGCUGUCGAAGGUGGGAUCG